UAUCCUUAUGCAUGGUAAUCGUCCGUUCAAAGGGCCUACAAACAUAAUGGGUUCAAUUAAAAACUUAAUUCUAAGCUGGGGAGAGGAAGAUCUGGAUGGAACAUCAAGAGAAGAAUACAAUAUGUGAAAUGAAAAAUUCACUAGAUAUGAAGAGUUAACAGAAAUCUCCAGCAACAAAUUAAUUUAAAAUAGAACAGAAGAAAAAGAAAAGGCGGCGCACUGAAGAACCCUGGAGAUGCGGACACAAAUAAUGAAGGUUUAUAUCACCCUUCUAGGUAUUAGGUUUUUUUAAAAAAAGACCAGCUGAAGUAUUGCCCAAGGGCAAAGGGAUCUAAGCAUCCAUAUAGUGAACAAAGGAAGUUCUAAAUUUUAACUACGGCCUCAUGACCAGUUACUAAAAUAAGAAUCAGAGCAGCUAUGACUCUGUUCUUCUUUGUAUUUGUAUAUUUUCUGUAAAUACGGCAGAUAAUCUUUCUGUUCCUCUAUACCUCUUUUUACCUUUAUGUAUGAAUUGUUGGUAGUGGUUAACUUUACACUUUUGCCUUUAAAUUAAAAAUAUUCUGUUGGGAAUGUGAAUACUUAGAAGGGUAAUUAAUAUCAUAUAGUAAUCAAUACCAUGACGACUGCCCAGAUGGCCACAUUAACUAGUAUCAUCCCUUUCUAGAGAAAAGGGUGAGAGCAACUUCAUUUACAUUGAAGGGUACAUGGCUUCAUUUUGUACACCCCUGAGUUAAAAAUGAUUUUUAUAUUUUUAAAGAUUGUAAAUAAACAAAUAACAAUAAGAAUAUGUGAUAAAGAUAAUAAGUGAC